rnacentral:rRNA from 2 species
GAAGAAUUCAGAGAUGGAUUUGUGCCUUCGGGAACCGUGAGACAGGUGCUGCAUGGCUGUCGUCAGCUCGUGUUGUGAAAUGUUGGGUUAAGUCCCGCAACGAGCGCAACCCUUAUCCUUUGUUGCCAGCGGUCCGGCCGGGAACUCAAAGGAGACUGCCAGUGAUAAACUGGAGGAAGGUGGGGAUGACGUCAAGUCAUCAUGGCCCUUACGACCAGGGCUACACACGUGCUACAAUGGCGCAUACAAAGAGAAGCGACCUCGCGAGAGCAAGCGGACCUCAUAAAGUGCGUCGUAGUCCGGAUUGGAGUCUGCAACUCGACUCCAUGAAGUCGGAAUCGCUAGUAAUCGUGGAUCAGAAUGCCACGGUGAAUACGUUCCCGGGCCUUGUACACACCGCCCGUCACACCAUGGGAGUGGGUUGCAAAAGAAGUAGGUAGCUUAACCUUCGGGAGGGCGCUUACCACUUUGUGAUUCAUGACUGGGGUGAAGUCGUAACAAGGUAACCGUAGGGGAACCUGCGGUUGGAUCACCUCCUUACCUGAAAGAAGC